rnacentral:rRNA from 1 species
GAAACGACUGCUAAGACUGGAUAGGAGACAAGAAGGCAUCUUCUUGUUUUUAAAAGACCUAGCAAUAGGUAUGCUUAGGGAGGAGCUUGCGGCACAUUAGUUAGUUGGUGGGGUAAAGGCCUACCAAGACUAUGAUGUGUAGCCGGGCUGAGAGGUUGAACGGCCACAUUGGGACUGAGACACGGCCCAAACUCCUACGGGAGGCAGCAGUAGGGAAUUUUCGGCAAUGGAGGAAACUCCGACCGAGCAACGCCGCGUGAACGAUGAAGUAUUUCGGUACGUAAAGUUCUUUUAUUAGGGAAGAAUAAAUGAUGGAAAAAUCAUUCUGACGGUACCUAAUGAAUAAGCCCCGGCUAACUAUGUGCCAGCAGCCGCGGUAAUACAUAGGGGGCAAGCGUAUCCGGAAUUAUUGGGCGUAAAGGGUGCGUAGGCGGUUAAAUAAGUUUAUGGUCUAAGUGCAAUGCUCAACAUUGUGAUGCUAUAAAAACUGUUUAGCUAGAGUAAGAUAGAGGCAAGUGGAAUUCCAUGUGUAGUGGUAAAAUGCGUAAAUAUAUGGAGGAACACCAGUAGCGAAGGCGGCUUGCUGGGUCUUUACUGACGCUGAGGCACGAAAGCGUGGGGAGCAAACAGGAUUAGAUACCCUGGUAGUCCACGCCGUAAACGAUGAGUACUAAACGUUGGGUAAAACCAGUGUUGAAGUUAACACAUUAAGUACUCCGCCUGAGUAGUACGUACGCAAGUAUGAAACUUAAAGGAAUUGACGGGACUCCGCACAAGCGGUGGAUCAUGUUGUUUAAUUCGAAGGUACCCGAAAAACCUCACCAGGUCUUGACAUGCUUCUGCAAAGCUGUAGAAACACAGUGGAGGUUAUCAGUUGCACAGGUGGUGCAUGGUUGUCGUCAGCUCGUGUCGUGAGAUGUUGGGUUAAGUCCCGCAACGAGCGCAACCCUUAUUGUUAGUUACCAGCACGUAAUGGUGGGGACUUUAGCAAGACUGCCAGUGAUAAAUUGGAGGAAGGUGGGGACGACGUCAAAUCAUCAUGCCCCUUAUGACCUGGGCUACAAACGUGAUACAAUGGCUGUUACAAAGGGUAGCUGAAGCGCAAGUUUUUGGCGAAUCUCAAAAAAACAGUCUCAGUUCGGAUUGAAGUCUGCAACUCGACUUCAUGAAGUUGGAAUCGCUAGUAAUCGCGAAUCAGCAUGUCGCGGUGAAUACGUUCUCGGGGUUUGUCACAGCGCCCGUCA